rnacentral:rRNA from 1 species
AUUGAACGCUGGCGGAAUGCUUUACACAUGCAAGUCGAGCGGCAGCGCGGCCUUCGGGCUGGCGGCGAGCGGCGAACGGGUGAGUAAUGCAUCGGAACAUGCCCAGUCGUGGGGGAUAACACUUCGAAAGAAGUGCUAAUACCGCAUACGUCCUGAGGGGGAAAGCGGGGGAUCGCAAGACCUCGCGCGAUUGGAGUGGCCGAUGUCAGAUUAGCUAGUUGGUGGGGCAAAGGCCUACCAAGGCGACGAGCUGUAGCUGGUCUGAGAGGAUGAUCAGCCACACUGGGACUGAGACACGGCCCAGACUCCUACGGGAGGCAGCAGUGGGGAAUUUUGGACAAUGGGGGCAACCCUGAUCCAGCCAAUCCGCGUGAGUGAAGAAGGCCUUCGGGUUGUAAAGCUCUUUCGGCAGGAACGAAACGGUGGGCUCUAACAUAGUCCGCUAAUGACGGUACCUGAAGAAGAAGCACCGGCUAACUACGUG